rnacentral:tRNA from 1 species
GGGGGAUUAGCUCAGUUGGGAGAGCGCCGCCUUUGCACGGCGGAGGCCGCCGGUUCGACCCCGGUAUCCUCCACCU